GCUCCAAAGAGCUGACACCCUACGUUAACACGGUGUAACAUACACCAGGAGAGAGCCCCGAACGGGGCCUUGGCUUUGCCUGUGUCUCUCCUCGGGAGGGAAGGUUUCCAAGAUUAAAAUGAAAGAAGUCAUAGAGAACAGGCUCGCACUCGGAGCAUAUUCCUUCUCUGGGCCUGGCUGGUCUCCAGCACAGUUCAGUUCAGUCGCUGACCUGCAGACAUGUGAUUUCUAGAUCUCCGGGCACAGAGCAAGCUGCAAGCGGUUGAAGAAGCGGUGCAGAAACUCCAAGUCUCUCUGCAGCCUGACAACGCCUCGGACGCCUCAGCAAAGGGAUCGGACAGUCUGCAGCUAUUGGAUGAAGCGCAGGCAGGAGUCCGGAUGCUGAAGGACCAGCUGGGUAAUGUCAGUGCAGCGUAUGGAGAAAUCCAGAUCCGUUCGGACGGUGCAGCGCGAACAGCAGUGCAAGAUGGCUGCAGUGACGUGCUGACAAAGCUCUCCAGGGGCUGGAGGUUUUACGGUGGGAACUUCUAUUACUUUUCACAAGAAAGGAAGUCGUGGGACGAGGCCGAGCAGUUCUGUGUGUCUCAGGACUCACACCUGACCUCUGUCUCCUCCCAGGCAG